GGGGGUGUAGCUCAGCGGGAGAGCACUUCGUUGACAUCGAAGGGGUCACAGGUUCAAUCCCUGUCACUCCCA
rnacentral:tRNA from 1 species